AACGAACGCUGGCGGCAUGCCUAACACAUGCAAGUCGAACGAGACCUUCGGGUCUAGUGGCGCACGGGUGCGUAACGCGUGGGAACCUGCCCUUAGGUUCGGAAUAACUCCCCGAAAGGGGUGCUAAUACCGGAUAAUGUCUUCGGACCAAAGAUUUAUCGCCUUUGGAUGGGCCCGCGUUGGAUUAGCUAGUUGGUAGGGUAAAAGCCUACCAAGGCGAUGAUCCAUAGCUGGUCUGAGAGGAUGAUCAGCCACACUGGGACUGAGACACGGCCCAGACUCCUACGGGAGGCAGCAGUGGGGAAUAUUGGACAAUGGGCGAAAGCCUGAUCCAGCAAUGCCGCGUGAGUGAUGAAGGCCUUAGGGUUGUAAAGCUCUCUUACCCGGGAUGAUAAUGACAGUACCGGGAGAAUAAGCUCCGGCUAACUCCGUG
rnacentral:rRNA from 1 species